rnacentral:rRNA from 1 species
AUUGAACGCUGGUGGAAUGCUUUACGCAUGCAAGUCGAACGGCAGCACGGGAGCUUGCUCCUGGUGGCGAGUGGCGAACGGGUGAGUAAUGCAUCGGAACGUACCUAUUAGUGGGGGAUAACUAUCCGAAAGGAUAGCUAAUACCGCAUACGUCCUGAGGGAGAAAGCGGGGGAUCGCAAGACCUCGCGCUAAUAGAGCGGCCGAUGUUGGAUUAGCUAGUUGGUGGGGUAAAGGCCUACCAAGGCGACGAUCCAUAGCUGGUCUGAGAGGAUGAUCAGCCACACUGGGACUGAGACACGGCCCAGACUCCUACGGGAGGCAGCAGUGGGGAAUUUUGGACAAUGGGGGCAACCCUGAUCCAGCCAUUCCGCGUGAGUGAAGAAGGCCUUCGGGUUGUAAAGCUCUUUCGGCAGGAACGAAACGGUGGUUACUAAUACUAGCUACUAAUGACGGUACCUGAAGAAGAAGCACCGGCUAACUACGUGCCAGCAGCCGCCGUAA